AUGCACUCCUUCGGUGAAGCUACAAGGCUUAAGCUAAACCAGACGAAGUCUUUUGUGAUCCCGAUGAACUGUGAUGAACUGCUACUGCCUGAAAUCUUGCAGGGUUUUGGGGGAUCGAUUGCAAGUUUCCCCACAACCUACCUGGGGUUGCCCCUCUCCCCCAAGAGGCUGCGAUUAGUGCACUUCCAGUUCCUAAUCGACCGCAUCAAGUUGCGUCUUGUGGGAUGGAAGGGCAAGUUAAUGUCACUGGCAGGUCGACACAUCCUGGUGCGGGCAGUGCUCUCUGCACUACCUACUUUCGCCAUGAUUGUGCUCAAGGUGCCCAAGAAGAUACUCAAGGAGAUUGACAAGGCGCGUCGUCGGUUUCUAUGGGUGCAAGACGAGGCUCUGACGGGAGGAAAGUGCAAGGUGGCGUGGAAACUGGUGUGCACCCCAACGGAGAAGGUUGGCUUAGGGCUGCCAGAGUUGCUCCGGUUCGGCACGGCCCUCAGGUUGCGCUGGCUAUGGGCGGCCUGGCAGCACCCAAUGAGGCCCUGGACGGCCUUCCCCCUGCCUUGCGAUGACGCAGACCGAAAGCAGUUCACUGCCGCCACAAAGAUCAUCGUCGGUGACGGCCAAAGGGCUGGGUUCUGGACAUGCCCCUGGCUUGACACCACGCCACUGAAUGCCACCUUCUCGAACUUGUUCAAGCACUCCAGGCGCAAAAACAGAUCGGUUGCCGCUGCUCUAGCUAACGAGCAGUGGAUCACCGAUCUCAGGCACGGCGACACGGCCUCCAUUGCGGUCGACUUCCUGGCGCUAUAG
rnacentral:rRNA from 1 species